UGAGAUGAAAAACCAAAUGAUAUAAUAUAUGCAACAUCAAUCACAGGUCUGACCAAAAAUCCAACACUUGAUGAUAAAUAUACAAACACAUACAGCAGCAGCCUUACCUUAUUCUUACCAGUCCCCUCUUUCUCUCUACAAAAUGCAAUGACAAUAUUAACGAAUAAAGUUUGCUGGUCCCAUAAGUAACAACCCUCCUGCUCAUAAUAACAAACUCAAAUUAAUAAUAGUACACUGCGUGUAUCUCCGCCAUGAUUCCCCGUGGUGAACUCAAAGACGAUCUCACCACCUCGCAUCGUAUGUGGCCUUCACGCUCCUUCCCCAUCUCUCCUGGAACAACUCUACCGACACCCAAAUAUAACCCUACUGCAAAGGAUUAGCGGCUGAACGAGGUCACCUUCGUUCAGGCAGCAGCGAUGGGCUCAGCUGGUGGUGCAGGGGCUGCUGCUGCGGGGGCAGCGGCGGCGGGUGCGGCAUUCUCCUUCUCAGGGACAGUGCCGUUGGCAGGGGCAUCCUUGGCAGCAGGUGUCGCUACCGCCUUAGCUCCGUCCUUUCCAGCGGCGGCCGGAGUUCCAUCCUUCCCAGCGGGUGCUGCAGCAGGUGGUGGAGGUGGCUUCAUGUGUGGCGGCGGUGUGUGCUUCAGCUUUGAGAGGAUCUGGCGCAUCCGCGCCAUGUCGGUGGCCUUCCCGGGCUUGGGGCCCUGGACAACGAUGAUCCCAGGCUUCUUGUCCUUGUCCUUCUUGCCCGUCCUCUUCUCGAUGUGCGCAAUCUCCUGUGGGAUGAGCUCGGAUAUCGCCUUCCAGUACUGCUUGUCUGCGCCCUUGUGGAACUUCUCCUGGUUGGACAGGAAAAGCUGAUACCAAGCAGCAACACACACAGGGAGACAAGAAAAGGAGAUGUUAGGUAACCAUAUGUUGUUCAAAAAGAGCCAAAGGAGAAUACACAGGGUCAUCAUGAUGUUAAGAAAUAUUACUGUACCUUCUCCCUUUCCCGGUUGUGAUCCUUGCUUGUCUCAAGGUUCAGCUUGCGCUUCUCGACGAAACCCUUCUUGAACUCUUCAGCUUCAAGGAUGAUUUGGCUCCUCAGCUCCUUCUCGUGCUUCUCCUUUUCCUCCAGAAGGAGUGCAUUUUGACUGUUCAGAGCUGGCGUUAGCAUUUACUUUGCACAAUACAGAUGGAAUCAAGCAGUACAAAAUAGCAGUAUUUAUUGUCGAGACAGAUAUAGCCUCUGUUCAAGAUGUUUAAUGCACCACUAGCGUUGUAGUUGAUGAUAUAGAACAGGGCCUACAGCAAUUUAUAUAAAGACAUUCUCUUGCCCGGAAGUCAGAUCUGGAGUCAUAUGUUAUAUCUUUAUCUGAAAGUUUAUUUCGUAGUGGCUACAGCAAACUGCAUUCUUUGGUGCAGGGGUUUAAAUAGACAAAUAGUGCACUGGAGGAAACAUAGCAGAAACGCCAAAAGAGGCAAACACUUCCUAUAUGGGGAAGUAACAUUAACAUAAUCAAGAACCCUCAUUUAGAUUUCGGAAAGCUCUCAUUUUGGACACAACACUUUGAGCACCUACAUAUAUGUCGAUAUUUAUAUUGGAUAACUGGAAGUCAUGUGUAGAUUUAUCUCAGCAAGUAGCCCAUUUUGGCAAACAAAAAAUAAACUUAAAUCAUACAGAAAUACAGACUUAUGCGCAAGAACAUGAGACUGUAUCUAUUUGCCACUAUGCUCUAGAAAUAAGAACAAGGGAAGUCAAUUUCAUUUUAAAUUCACUAUAGAUAAAAAACUGAAGAGGCAGCUACAUCCAGAGAGUCCUAGAUAUUCAAACUUACAGUUUCAUCACGCAAAUCCGAUUGGACCUUCUUGAUUUGAUAUCCUCAACUACAAAAUCCCAGGUUUAUUUAAAUAAAAUUGUGCACCUAAUGUGCCACAAGAUCAGCUAGCCUGAGAAAGUGUUCCAGCAAGAUGAAUCACUUUUAUCAUAUUAACAGGUCAUGAUGAAAAAAGCUGUGGCAGUCAGACAAAUAUAUACCUACUGCGAAAACACGACUUCGGUGACCAAUUUGUACGGCAAUCGCCCCUAUGCAGUUAAAUUUCUACUGCAAAAGCUGCAUAUACAGUAGAUCAUGGCAAAAUUCCAAGCGAUCAUUAGCUUUUGUUCAGCUAAAAUCCUAGUGUACUGAAGCUGCUAAAGCACUGGGUCACACCAUCAUACAGCACACACACUGAACUCCAAGCAAUCAUUUAUUCUAAUUCAGCUUAAAUCCUAGUGUAGUACUGAAGCAGCAAAGACCGUGGAUCACAUCAACAUAUGGCAAUUUCAUUUUCCUGUUGGCAAAAGCUAACGCUACAGUUACACCCGGAGAGUCCCAGGCAGUAAAAAUUGGGAUUUUAUCAUGUGAUUCCGGCUGCGGUUUGUUGAUCUGACACCACCGACUACUAAAUCCCAAAUUUAAAUUACCUACUUACUUAGCGUGUCACAAGCUUAGCUAGCCAUGACAAGUUGCAGCAAGCUGAACCAUUUUUAUCUCAUUAACAACUAUUCAUGGUGCAAAAUUGUUGCUUCGAUCACUUAUAAGCAACUAAGCACGCGUACAGUGACUGAUUUGUAAGUCAGUUGCUCUAAUUCAGCUAAAAUCCUAGUCUACUGAAGCUGGAGGCACUGGAUCACAUCAUCAUAUCGGCACCACAUCGAUGGAAUCUCGCGCACACAGCAGCUCGGCGCCCCAGAUAAUGGCAAGCGGCAGGCCAGAUCGCGGUCCAGCGCGACAGAUCUACGCCCCGGACCAACCCAGCCCGGCACGAUCGCGCGGGUAGAUCUAGCAGGACCAACGACCGAGCCGGGCCAGAUCGAUCAGAUCUAGGCGAGAGGAGCAAGGAGAGGGAGGUACCGGCGCCACUCGCGGAGGAGGAAGCCCUCGUCGGCCCCCAUCUGGGCGGGGUCGGGGAGGACGGGGCCGGGGUCGGUGAAGAGGCCGUCGUCGUCGGCGUCGUGGUGCAUGGCGUGGCCGUUGCCGUUGGAGUCGGGCAUGCCGAAGGGGUGCGCGGCGGCGGAGUCGUGGCGGAAGGCGUAGGGGUCGGGGGAGGCCGGGAAGGCGUCGCCGGAGACGUGGGCGUCGGCCGCGGCGGGGGUGGGGGAGUCGGCGAAGCUGAGGAAGGGGUCGUCGUGGAAGGGCGCGGCCGCCGGGGAGGAGGUCGGGGAGUCGAAGGCGGUCGCCAUGGGCGAUGGGGUCGGGAUCUNNNNNNNNNNNNNNNNNNNNNNNNNNNNNNNNNNNNNNNNNNNNNNNNNNNNNNNNNNNNNNNNNNNNNNNNNNNNNNNNNNNNNNNNNNNNNNNNNNNNGAUUAGACUAUUUGACCAAAUAAAAACUUAACCUUUUCCCAAUUUUAGUUCUUGGCAUAUUUUAACAACUUAGCACAAGUCAAGCAAUUUUAACACAAUUCAAGCAAGCAUGCAAAGAGUAUAUAAGCAGCGGAAAGUAAAGCAUGCAACUUGCAAGAAUGUAAAGGGAAGGGUUUGAAGAAUGCAAACGCAAUAGGAGACACAUAUGUUUUUGGCGUGGUUCCGAUAGGUGGUGCUAUCGUACAUCCACGUUGACGGAUACUUCAACCCACGAAGGGUAACGGCUGCGCGAGUCCACGGAGGGCUCCACCCACGAAGGGUCCACGAAGAAGCAACCUUGUCUAUCCCACCAUGGCCAUCUCCCACGAAGGACUUGCCUCACUAGGGUAGAUCUUCACGAAGUAGGCGAUAUCCUUGCCCUUACAAACUCCUUGGUUCACUCCACAAUCUUGUCGGAGGCUCCCAAGUGACACCUAACCAAUCUAGGAGACACCACUCUCCAAAAGGUAAUAGACGGUGUGUUGAUGAUGAACUCCUUGCUCUUGUGCUUCAAAUGAUAGUCUCACCAACACUCAACUCACUCUCAUAGGAUUGGAUUUGGUGGAAAGCUGAUUUGAGUGGAAAGCAACUUGGGGAAGGCUAGAGAUCAAGAUUCAUAUGGUAGGAAUGGAAUAUCUCGGUCUCAACACAUGAGUAGGUGGCUCUCUCUUAGAAAAUGGGUAGUGGAAGUGUAGGUACGUUCUGAUGGCUUCCCUCACGAAUGAGGAGAGGGCGGAGGGGUAUAUAUAGCCUCCACUCAAAAUCUAACCGUUACACACAAUAUACCAAACUCGGUGGGACCGAAUCAAAACUUGGUCGGACCGAUUCAGUGCAUAAUGUGACCGUUAGGAAAUUUCGGUGGGACCGACAUGUCAACUCGGUGGGACCGAUAUCAUUAGGGUUAGGGCAUAACAUAAUCUCGGUUGGAUCGAUUACACAAACCCGGUUGGACUGACUUUGGUAAUAAGCUAACUAGGGAGUUGGUCAGGCAAACUCGGUGUGACCGAUUCGCUCGUCUCGGUGGAACCGAAGCGUUACGAAAAGGAAAUAGGGAGUUUGCAUUGCAGACUCGGUGGGACCGAUCGCUCAUCUCGGUUAGACCGAAACGUUACAAAGGGAAACAGAGACUUUGCAAUCCCAUCUCGGUGAGACUGAGAUCCCUAUCGGUGAGACCGAAGUGACUAGGGUUUCUGGCAGUGGCUAUGUCAAAUGAACUCGGUGGCGCCAGAUGGAACAAAUCGGUGGGGCCGAGUUUGACUUUUGGUUUGGGACAUAUGUGGAUAUGAGAAAGUGGUUGAGGGCUUUGGAGCAUAUCACUAAGCAUUUUGAGCAAGCAAGCCAUUAAGCAACACCUCAUCCCCUUUUAAUAGUAUUGGCUUUCCUAUAGACUCAAUGUGAUCUUGGAUCACUAAAAUAGAAAAUGUAGAGUCUAGGACUUUAGAGCUUGAGCCAAUCUUUUGUCCUUAACAUUUUGAGGGGUCCACAAUCCUUAUCCAUGCCAUGCCAAUCAUUGAACUUUCCUGAAAUAUUUAUCUUGAAAUGGCAUUAGUUCAAUGAGCUAUAUGUUGUUAAUCAUUACCAAAACCACCCAGGGAUAGUUGCACUUUCAAUCUCCCCCUUUUUGGUAAUUGAUGACAACAUAUAGACCAAAGCUUCGACAAAUGAUAAUAAGAUUGAAAUACAUCGUCGCUUUGAGAAGUAUGUAACAAACAAGAGCUCCCCCUAAAUUUGUGCAUUAUUUAAAAUUUGCUUUGGACUGCAAAUGCACAAUGUGUUAGGAUCAUGGGUCACUUUUCCAUGUCACAUACAUCUUGGUGGAGCACUCAAAAUGAUAAUAAUUGAAAACAUGCACUCAUCACCAAGCAAAGUGAAUGAUCAUAACUGGAUAUAAGAGAUAAUAUCAUUCAAGCACACAUUAAGGUAGCAUAUGAUCAAACACAUGAUCAUCCAAGUAUCUCACAAAAGGCAUAAAGUAUCAAGCAAACACACAAUAAAGUAACAAGAAAAUAAAGUGCAAAGAGAGACAAAACAACACUCUCUCUCUUGAAGACUAUGAUCUAUACAUAUUUCUCCCCCUUUGCCAACAAGUUACCAAAAAGUUUAAAAUAUGCAUAGUGCUAUGCAUCUCUCAGGCUCGGUCUUCAUGAGGUGGUGUAGAGAUGAAUCCAAGGACGAAACCUUCUGUUGAAGUUGCUGGAGCUGGUGGAGUGGCUGCUGAAGCUGGUGGCACUGAAGCUGUGGCUGCUGGUGCAAAUGUAGUAGAUCUUGCAUCUGAAACAGGCACUGCAGCAGACCUCUGACUUCUGGGCACUCUUAUGAAAGCAUCUGUAGUAGACUUGCCUUUCUUCUCCUCCACUUCCUCUUGAAGUUGCUCAACCACUGACUGAAUCUCAGUUAAUUUGACAUCAAGAGCAUAGAGUUUUUGCUUAAUGAUCCUCUCCAAGCUCUCCUAAUUUUGAGUCAGGGUGGCCAAGCCCCGCUCAAUCCUCAAGGUGGAUUGGAUCAGAUAUCCAAGUUGAUCUUUCUUACUCUUUAAGAACACCUGAGAUGCCUCUUCAACACUUGGCAUCUUUGCAGCCUUCUCCGCCCUUGCCUUCUCUCUCUUGCCAUGUGCUUGCACUGAGGAAGGGUCUUCCUCAUUAAUAACAACAAUGUUAUCCUCAAAAUCUGGCCUGAGGAGUAGAUGCUCUUUGUCCAAUAGAUAUGUGCCUGUGCCCAUGUUGAAGUUGAUGAGCACCUGAAUUUGUGGAGCAUACCCACAAGAUCUCUUCUGAUCUGCAGCUGUCCUCUUGAUUGUCUCAAUAAUCAAACUCAUCACUUUGAACUUUUGAGGGACAUCAAAUAUAUGCAGCAAGUUAAUGGAGUGUCCUCUUAUCAUUAUGUAAUCUCCAGAUUUUGGCAAGAGAGUGUGCCUCAGAAUGGUAUUGAUAGUAGGCAGCCCUGACAGCAAGUGCUUCACCGAGCCAAACUUGUGAGUCUCCCACUACUAGGGAAAACCUUAUACACAGAACUUUAGCAGUAGCACGUCUUAAAAAGGAACGCUAGUGCUAAGUAGCAGUAGCGCGUUGAUGAAAAGCACGCUACAGAUAAUACUAUAGCAGUAGCGCGCCUGUGGAUAACCGCACUACUACAAAAAUUCUCACGGCUUAGCCGAUGGGCUACCCAUAGUAGUAGCGAGCCGCGGAGAACCGCGCUACCACUAUGUGCUUUGUACCAGCACGUUUAUGCGAAACGCACUACUGACAUAGGAAAUACAAUUAAAUGGAAAGCAAGUAGAAAAGUAAAUGAAAAUGAAAGAAAUAGAAAAAGGUGAAAGGAAAAAAAGUAAAAUGUAAAGAAAAAUAAAUGGAAAGGGGGAAAAAGAGAAAGGAAUAGCAGUAGCGCGUAUUGGGGAACGCGCUGUAGCUAACUUAGCAGUAGCGCGCUUCCUGGAACGCGCUACUGCUACUUUUGACUUAACUGCGCGGUUUCGUUCUUCUCCAGAGCCACUUCCCCCAAAUCGAACCCCUCCACUGUCGCGCCCGUCGGCCGCCGCGCGCNNNNNNNNNNNNNNNNNNNNNNNNNNNNNNNNNNNNNNNNNNNNNNNNNNNNNNNNNNNNNNNNNNNNNNNNNNNNNNNNNNNNNNNNNNNNNNNNNNNNAGAUGACGCCGAACACCGAAAAGCAGGUAUGCAAAGAAUAAUGGUGCAUGUAGUGGAUCAAAACCGAUACCACCCACACUCACAUAAUCAAUCGUUAGCGACAAGAUAAUAAGUCUAUAUGCAUGCUAUGCAUCAAACAAAUGCAACAACCAAAUGCUGCAAACAUACUAGACACUUAUACUACCACUUUCUAAUGCUCGCGUGGACUAGGGCGUCCUACAGCCAGACCUGCUCUGAUGCCAACACGUUUGGCACCCCGGCUCAGAGAGACCGGAACACCCCGUAUUCCAGCCCAGAGAUCAAGUCUUCUGGAAUACGACAGUGCUUGGCAUAGAACAAAUCAGCUUUUUAUUACAAAUACUCAGGGAUACAAGGGUUCCGACAUAACCGGCAAUUACAUCGGCACGGUGACACUACGCCUUCUCACGUUUCUCUAUGAUAGCAGCCGUAAAACUCGUAGCAGCGGAAUAACGACGAUAGUGAUGGACUGCACUCCGUAGGGACUCUGGCUGAAAUGCUUAUCCUAGCUCGCCAACAAGGGAUCCACGACAAAUAAGUAAGCAGACAAAGCCUGACCUGCAAACUGGCAUGACACACCAGGUCAGUACAUUGAAUGUACUUGCAAGCUCACAGGAACCAAAGCAAUCAAGACAAACAAUAACAUGGCAUUUACAGGUUACUUAGGAAUGAUGAGCAUGAUACUACCAGAACAACAUGGCGUGUAUAAGAUGAACAUGAUACCGCUAGAACAUUAUCAGCAUGGCAUGAACAUAUUACUUGAGACAUGAACAAUGAUGAUACUAGCAUGCAACAUGCUUACAAAUAUCACUUACUCUAUUCGGGGUUACCUCGUAACCACCAUAGAUAUGCCAUUCUCACUUACCAUCGUUGUCACGGGAUCACUUCAAUCAUUAUCAAGAAUACCACUGGCAUCAUCACAAGAUCACCUCAUCAUUAUCAAGAAUACCAUUGGGAUCCUCACAAGAUCACCUCAUCAUUAUCGAGAAUACCAUUGUGAUCCUCAUGUGACCACAUAAAGGUCAACCAACUUCUUUCCUCAUCAAACCGGGGUUGUUAUUAGUCAGGUUAUUAUUACUGUUGACUCAUAGUCUGACCUACUACAAACUGGGUCCAUAUCCGCGGGCGAGGCUAUCGGUAGAUUAUACACACUCUGCAGAGGUUAGCACAUUGUACCCACACCAUGGAACCCAAGGCCUCGUGCUCCCAUUCAGGUGGACCAAUGGCGUUCCGACAAAACCGAUCUACCGCCAUGACACUCUCCCGGCCACUCCGACAAACUCCCCUUUGGGCUAAGUCAUGGGUGGCCCUGAUGUCACAUCGUGACAUCCAACAGCCACCGUCGUGGCAAAACAAAACAGUCCCAAACGGGGACAACCCGGGUACAACAACAAUGGGCACACAAGGCUUAUGUCCGCCUACCCGAUUAGGGUAGCGCGCACCCAUAACCUUUCCUAGUUGGAUGCACCGGCAAGAGGCACGACAAUAGACCGCAUUAGGGCCUUCCCAUAAAGGAAAAUGUGGUUGCACUAGUUAGUUCUAUUUCGAUGGCACUAUGACUUAGCCAAUAGGUGUUCAAGUUAUAUUAAAGUCCGGUUUAACUUGAAUGUAACGAGCUGAGUCAUAAUAACA
rnacentral:lncRNA from 1 species